AUUGAACGCUGGCGGCAUGCCUUACACAUGCAAGUCGAACGGUAACAGGUCUUCAGCCGCUGACGAGUGGCGAACGGGUGAGUAAUGCAUCGGAACGUGCCCAGUCGUGGGGGAUAACUGCUCGAAAGAGCAGCUAAUACCGCAUACGACCUGAGGGUGAAAGCGGGGGACCGUAAGGCCUCGCGCGAUUGGAGCGGCCGAUGUCAGAUUAGCUAGUUGGUGGGGUAAAGGCCUACCAAGGCAACGAUCUGUAGUUGGUCUGAGAGGACGACCAGCCACACUGGGACUGAGACACGGCCCAGACUCCUACGGGAGGCAGCAGUGGGGAAUUUUGGACAAUGGGCGCAAGCCUGAUCCAGCAAUGCCGCGUGCAGGAAGAAGGCCUUCGGGUUGUAAACUGCUUUUGUCAGGGAAGAAAUCUUCUGGGCUAAUACCCCGGGAGGAUGACGGUACCUGAAGAAUAAGCACCGGCUAACUACGUG
rnacentral:rRNA from 1 species